UUGUUUAAGAAGAAAAACUACAGAAAUUCUUACUAAGUAAUCUUAUCUGUGAGAUUUUACAUAUUAGUCGAAAAAAUCAAACUUCAAAUCUUCGGAGGUUAUCGGGAGAGACAAAGAGGAAGAUUUUUAAUCAAAAGCCAGGGUCUACUACAAUUUAGUCACUUGUUCAAGUCAGAGUAAACCCUGAUCGAAGACCAAAACAGCUCUGAUAUGCAAAUUCGAUUGUCAGAAUUGAGUACAACGACGAACGAUCAAUCGAACCGUCGCCCUGAAGUUUCUCAUAAAAUAGCUUUUACGUCUUUUUAAAAAAAUCUUAUCUGGUAAAGCGAAUGAUUAGAGGCCUUAGGGUCGAAAGGAUCUUGACCUAAAUUAAUCUGAUCUGGUAAAGCGAAUGAUUAGAGACCUCAGGAUCGAAAAAAUAAAAUAAAAUUAAAAUAAUUUUAUCUGGUAAAGCGAAUGAUUAGAGCCCUUGGGGUCGAAACGAUCUUGAGCUGUAUUAAUCUUAUCUGCUAUAGAGAAUGAUUAACGCCCUUAGGAUCAAAAUGACCUUACCUUAAAAUAAUGUUAUCUGGAAAAGCGAAUGAUUAGAGGCCCUAGGGUCGAAACGAUCUUGACCUAUUCUCAAACUUUAAAUGGGUAAGAACCUUGCCUUUCCUGGUACGAUGCUUGUGAUUGUGGUAUAAUCUAAGCAGAAUUGAAGUUGUGGGAUAAUGUUAUAGUGCCCAAAUAAACAACUCAUGUAGGUGUCACGAAAAGUACUGGUUGCUUAAAACAGCAGGACGUUGAACACGGAAGACAUAAUCGACUAAAGAGUGUGUAACAAGUCACCUGCCGAAGUAACGAGCCUUUAAAAUAUAUGGGGCUUCAGUUGCAUAUCUAUACAUUGAAAUUUUAUUAAUUAAUAUAUUAUUUUGAAAUUUUAGUUAGUAGGUGCUAGGUAAAAUCGUGAGCGUAGAAGUUUGUUUGGCGUAAGUCUGCAUGGAACCGCUAUUGGUG
rnacentral:ncRNA from 1 species